UGGCGGACGGGUGAGUAAUGUCUGGGAAACUGCCUGAUGGAGGGGGAUAACUACUGGAAACGGUAGCUAAUACCGCAUAACGUCGCAAGACCAAAGAGGGGGACCUUGGGCCUCUUGCCAUCGGAUGUGCCCAGAUGGGAUUAGCUAGUAGGUGGGGUAAAGGCUCACCUAGGCACGAUCCCUAGCUGGUCUGAGAGGAUGACCAGCCACACUGGAACUGAGACACGGUCCAG
rnacentral:rRNA from 1 species